CUGUCCCCUCCACCUCAGCAGAGCCCAGUGAUACAGCAUCAAGCGCUCCUGUCUCCUCCACCUCAGCAGAGCCCAGUGAUACAGCAUCAAGCGCUCCUGUCCCCUCCACCUCAGCAGAGCCAAGUUAUACAGCAUCAGGGAUAAAGGCUUCACCAAUAGACCCUGCCGACUGGCCAUCUGUUCUUACUGAUAAUGACAGGACAGAGUUUGUUCAGAGUGGACCAUAUCAAAUGAAAUCUAGUUUUAUCUUUCCCAAACAAAAAGACGGGAGAAGGUGUCAGCAAGACUAUUUUAACAGAGUCUUAAUCAACGGAGAAAAAAUCAAAAGAAGCUGGUUGAUGUAUUCAAAAAAGAAUGAUAGCUUGCACUGCUUCUGCUGCACAAUGUUUUCACAGAGAAAUUACAUACUCAAUAGGGAAGGACUAAAGGACUGGAAAAAUGCAAGUCACUUGCUCAAGGUACAUGAAGAAAGCAAGGAGCACAACACAAACAUGGCAACAUGGAAGGAGUUAGACGUCCGUCUUGCCAGGGGGCUUACAAUAGAUAUGCAAGAGAUGGCCCUUGCUCAGGCUGAGAGAAAUAGGUGGCACGACGUUCUCACCCGAUUCGUGGCAAUAAUUCAGUCCUUAGCAGAGAGAAACCUGGCUCUGAGGGGGUCCACAGACACAUUAAACCAACCAGACAAUGGCAACUUUUUAAAAGAAGUGGAGCUUAUGGCCAAAUUCGAUCCAGUCAUAAAGUAGCAUGUUGGUAGGGUGGCAAGUGGAGCUGGCAGUCACACACAUUAUAUGGGCAAAAGAAUUCAAAAUGAACUGAUUGACUCAAUCAGCUCUAAAAUACUGGACACAAUUGUGGAAGAGAUAAAAACGUGUAAGUAUUUCUCCAUCAUUUUGGAUUGCACUCCUGAUCUGAGUCAUAAAGAACAACUCUCUGUUAUUGUCAGGAUAGUAUCGCUAGAAGACAAACCACAGGUUAAAGAACAUUUCCUGGGCUUUCUUGUGGCAGAGCAGUCAACAGGGGAAAGUUUGACAUUGCUCAUUCUCAAAAGGCUGGAGGAACUUAACAUCCCCUUUGAGGACUGCAGAGGACAGUCGUAUGACAACGGUGCCAACAUGAAGGAUGGGACAUCCUGCUGAAACAUGUCAAAACAACCCUGAAAUCGUGGUCAGAGACCAGAUGGGAAAGCAGGAUAAAAAGCGUUGAGGCAGUAAUGUACCAGGCUGGGCAAAUCAGAGAGGCUCUUCUGGAGGUGAGGGAAACAACUGCAGACCCUGUGGUGAGAGUUGAAGCCCAGUCUUUGGCUGAGGAGAUUGGAUCUUACCGUUUUAUCAUUUGCACAACCAUAUGGUAUGACAUCCUCUACAAGAUCCAGCAUGUGAGCAAACUGAUGCAGUCACCCUCCAUGUAGUUAGAUGUGGCUGUCGACCUGCUGAAGAAAACAGGAGAUUCCCUCACCUGCUACAGAAGGACUGGAUUUUCUGAUGCACAGACAACUGCAAAGGAGAUGUGUGAGGAGAUGAACGUGGAGUCUGUUCUCAAGCAAAAGCGGUUGAGAUCCACAAAACGGCAGUUUGGUUAUGAGUCUCCAGAUGAGCCUAUUGAUGAUGCACUUAAAAAAAUGGAAAUCACAUUUUUUAAUGUGGUUGUGGAUACAGCCCUCUCUUCACUUGAUGAGAGAUUUCAGCACCUUGAAGAGGUAAAUGACAAGUUUGGAGUGCUCAUCAACUUUCCCACCACAUCAAACGAAGAACUGCCAAAGCACUGUCAAACCCUGAGCUCUGCUCUGACCCAUGAUGGACAACCAGAUAUUGAUGGCAGGGAACUUGCUGCAGAAAUGCAAAAAUGUUCCACAUUUGCCAUCAAAGAAGAUGACAAACAUGGAACUAUUGACCUUCCUUCAUGAGAAGAAGCUGACAGAAAUGUACCCCAAUUUGUAGGUUGCUCUGAGAAUCUCUGCCACUCUUCCUGUUACAGUGGCUGCUGCUGAAAGAAGCUUCUCAAAGCUCAAACUGGUCAAAACUUACCUAAGAGCUUCUAUGGGACAAGAACGUCUCAGUGGACUAUCCAUCAUAAGCAUCAACCAUGUGGUCUCAAAACAGCUGUCUUAUGAUGAUGUCAUAGAUCAUUUUGCUUCAAGAAAGGCAAGGAGAGUCAGGCUAAGGUAAGGUGUUGAGGUGUGAGAUUGAGGCCUGUAGUAUUUUAAUGGUUGGAUUUUGGCUAAAUCUAGCUUUUAACCAAGACUGAAGUGAUUGAUAGCAAAUAUUUCGGUACCCAGAAGUAGUAUGUUUAAGUGUUCAGCAAAGCAGCUUUUGUUUUAAAUUAGUAAAUGUUUCUGGGUUGUACUUCUUACACAUCCAGCUCUUAAGGUGAGGCAAUUAGUCUCUCACGGACUGUAUAUCAGUACAGGUGGAUUGUGUGCCUGUCAGCAGAGGAGCAACUUGUUGCCCUGUCUGACCUCAGCAGGGAGCAAGUGGAGGGGCCAUGUGUGAAUAGGCCUUUAGAAAGCACUGGUGUGUUGGCAAGGCUGCUGACUGCAAUUAUAGGUUUUAAUGUUGUAUUUGUGUUAAAAUAAAAAAAUAUCCCCAAAAACGUA